rnacentral:tRNA from 1 species
UUCACCCGUAGCUCAAUGGUGGAGCGUCUGACUGUUAAUCAGAAGGUUGCAGGUUCGAGUCCUGCCGGGUGAGU